GAGAAACAUUGAUCAGCUGACUCCUGCAUACCUUCCACUCGGGAUGUGCCCGCAACCAAGGAAUUGAACCUGCAAACACAGCAUUUGUCCUGACCAAGAAUGUAAUCGGCAACUUUUUGGUCCAUGGGAUAACAACCAACCAACUCAGCCACAGUGGA